rnacentral:rRNA from 1 species
GAUGAACGCUGGCGGCGUGCCUAAUACAUGCCAGUCGAGCGAACAGACGAGGAGCUUGCUCCUCUGACGUUAGCGGCGGACGGGUGAGUAACACGUGGAUAACCUACCUAUAAGACUGGGAUAACUUCGGGAAACCGGAGCUAAUACCGGAUAAUAUAUUGAACCGCAUGGUUCAAUAGUGAAAGACGGUUUUGCUGUCACUUAUAGAUGGAUCCGCGCCGCAUUAGCUAGUUGGUAAGGUAACGGCUUACCAAGGCAACGAUGCGUAGCCGAACUGAGAGGGUGAUCGGCCACACUGGAACUGAGCCACGGUCAAGACUCCUACGGGAGGCAGCAGUAGGGAAUCUUCCGCAAUGGGCGAAAGCUUGACGGAGCAACGCCGCGUGAGUGAUGAAGGUCUUCGGAUCGUAAAACUCUGUUAUUAGGGAAGAACAAAUGUGUAAGUAACUAUGCACGUCUUGACGGUACCUAAUCAGAAAGCCACGGCUAACUACGUG